rnacentral:tmRNA from 1 species
GGGGAUGCGUGGUUUCGACAGGGCUUGGCUGCCAGGGAGCGCGAGCCGAGGUGCCGUCAGGCCUCGUAAAACAGGCGGCAAAACGAAGUAACUGCCAACAAGCAGCCUGCUCUCGCCCUCGCCGCUUAGGCGGUAAGGUGAGCAUGGAAGCGGCCUCCCCUUCGCGGGCCGUGGAAGUGUCACUCAGCGGAGGUGCAACCCCGGAGAGGUCACGUACCCGGGAGCCAAGCCCGAUCUAGGGGCACGUGGAUGGAUCAGACGGGAGCCUGCCGAUGGGCGCCCGACCGGUUGACGAAAAUCAUCGGACACGCUCGUAGUGGUUUCUGGCGAAGGGUUCUGGACGGGGAGUUCGACUCUCCCCCAUCUCCACCA